rnacentral:rRNA from 1 species
GAUGAACGCUGGCGGCGUGCCUAAUACAUGCAAGUCGAGCGAACAGACGAGGAGCUUGCGCUUCUGACGUUAGCGGCGGACGGGUGAGUAACACGUGGAUAACCCACCUAUUAGACUGGGAUAACGUCGGGAAACCGGAGCCAAUACCGGAUAAUAUAUCGAACCGCAGGGUGCAAUAGAGAAUGAGGGGUUGGCUGUCACUUAUAGACGGAUCCGCGCCGCAUUGGCUAGGUGGUAAGGUAACGGCUUACCAAGGAAACGAUGCGUGACCGAGCUGAGAGGGUGUUCGGCCCCACUGGAACUGAGCCACGGUCCAGACUCCUACGGGAGGCCGCAGUAGGGAAUGUUCGGCGAUGGGCGAAAGCUUGACGGAGCAGCGCCGCGUGGGUGAUGCAGGUCUUCGGAUCGUAAAACUCUGUUAUUGGGGAAGAACAAAUGUGUACGUAACUAUGCACGUUUUGACGGUACCUAAUAAAAAAGCCCCGGCUAACUACGUG